UACAGAGGGUGCGAGCGUUGUCCGGAAUUACUGGGCGUAAAGGGCGCGUAGGCGGUUCGAUAAGUAGGAGGUGAAAUCUCACGGCUCAACCGGGAGGCUGCCUUCUAGACUGUCGGACUUGAGCACGGUAGAGGCAGAUGGAAUUCCCGGUGUAGCGGUGGAAUGCGUAGAGAUCGGGAAGAACACCCGUGGCGAAGGCGGUUCUCUGGGACGGUACUGACGCUGAGACGCGAAAGCGUGGGGAGCGAACAGG
rnacentral:rRNA from 1 species